GGGCGAUUAGCUCAGUUGGUAGAGCAUCUCCUUUACACGGAGGAGGUCGGCGGUUCGAGCCCGUCAUCGCCCACCA
rnacentral:tRNA from 1 species